rnacentral:rRNA from 1 species
UAGGGAAUCUUCCGCAAUGGACGCAAGUCUGACGGAGCAACGCCGCGUGAGUGAAGAAGGAUUUCGGUUCGUAAAACUCUGUUGUUAGAGAAGAACAGCGCAUAGAGUAACUGUUAUGCGUGUGACGGUAUCUAACCAGAAAGCCACGGCUAACUACGUGCCAGCAGCCGCGGUAAUACGUAGGUGGCAAGCGUUGUCCGGAUUUAUUGGGCGUAAAGCGAGCGCAGGCGGUCCAUUAAGUCUGAUGUGAAAGCCCCCGGCUCAACCGGGGAGGGUCAUUGGAAACUGGUUGACUUGAGUGCAGGAGAGGAGAGUGGAAUUCCAUGUGUAGCGGUGAAAUGCGUAGAUAUAUGGGGGAACACCAGUGGCGAAGGCGACUCUCUGGUCUGUAUCUGACGCUGGGGCUCGAAAGCGUGGGUAGCAAACAGG